UUUAUCAGAAUGAUCGGCAAUUACAGAUUAGUUAGGUUAGCUUAUGUAUCCCGUAUCUCUUCUCCAAAUUUUGUCUUCAUUUUCUGUUUCACCAUCUUCAUGUGCAAGUUUGCAGAGUCAGAUACCGGUGGACAUGAAUUCAUCAAAUCCACAUGGUACAGGUAUGUACUGUGAAUUUUCAGUUGAUGCAGGUUAACUACUCUGGUACACAGUACAGUUGAUGCAGUUGUAUGCGGAUGUAUCAAUUAAACACAAUUUUUUUUUGAAGGAAGUAAAUAAUGGCUUAAUGUCGUCAAACCCAGCAUAGUGUCAAGCCAAGGUAACAGCAAAGGGUAGGGAAUCUUGUUGAGAAUUUUGUUGGAUAUUGGAAAUUGGAUGUUAUGUUGCUAGUGUUGAUUGAUUGAUAAUCUUUGAAAUCAAUCAAGUGAUAAUAGAUUGUUAAGGGUUCAUGAAUACUUCUGACUUGUCACUUCGUGAAAACAGGUUUGUUUGAUCCAUCAGUAGCCAGUACUAAUGUAAUGUUACUGACGUAGUUAAUAUCUUUGGAUUGAUCUCAUUUGAUUUUGAUAUCGGCCUUCUCGAGAUACCAAAUUUUCAUGCAUUACAGUUGUAAUUCUUCCGAAUUUUGAGCACAUACUCUUAGGUGAUUCCUUUAAGUAUUCAGAUGUCGCUGGAUUUGAUGUUUUUCAAUUGAAUGCACUCGUCGUGUUUGACAAAAUUACUCAUCUAAAUAUUUUUUCUUUGAUAUGUAAAUCUGUUUAAGUGAAUUGCUCAUCUGAAUUACAGUUAGAAGGGCGUAUGUACUUAAUAUGAUAUCAUUUUUCCAAUUGGCAGCAGUAUAGUCCUGGAAAACACGGAGAAUAUAAGCCCUCUGCCACUACUAUUAGGUUGCUUAUGUUUUGGAGUCUACUGCAAUUGCGAUAUUUGUAUUUGUUUUUAUCGGUUGCUUGUGGUUUUCUUUUGAUGAUUCCUUAGUUUUUUGUUGAUAUUGGAAAAGUUGUCAAAAAGGGACAUUAUAUAUGAUUUUUCUAUUAGGACUUCCGAUGUUCUUUUGAUAGGUAUUAGUUUUGCACCACAAAAAUAUUUUUUUUACCAAGUGCAUAAUUUUUUUUUCCAAACCACCCCCAGUCUUCAAUCCUGGUUCCUCCACUGUUUAUUUGCAAAGAUAUGUUGGCAGAAACUAUCCUUGAAGAGAUAAAGAAAACUUGUUGUGGAUAGACUUUUGGCAUUGUUCAUCCAACAGAGGUCAGGUGAAGUAGCUAAAGUAGGGGUACAAGAAGUUGUGUACGCCAUUUACUGGUACUCUGGGUCAUGGAAGUGGAGCAUUUUUGGUAUCAGUGGUUUCUCGUAUGUGGGUAAUAAUUCAUUUUACUCUUUUUCUUGUUCUUGAUAGACGGAUUUGGCGUAGGCCUAGCAGUGGUCAGAUUCGGUAGCACAGACCAGUAAUCGUCGAGUGAGCGAGAGAAACACAUUAAUGAUAUCAAGAAGUUGAAAUGGGUUGCUAAGGGAAAAGUUUGGCCACCCUCAAUUUUCGUGCCUCGUCCAUGCUAGUUUUAGACCCUUAAAACCUUGUGUACCUUCAGAAUAUUGAGAAAAAAGUAACUUUUGUAAGCUUUCUUGCCUAUUCGCAAGACAUCACUAUCGAGAAUAUCAAGAAAGAGCUUCAAGCAAGGCCGACAACAAAGUUAGUUCAUGACCUGCGUAAGAAAGUCAAAAUUUUGCAGGUUAAACUUUCUGAGCAAUCAAAUUUGCUGGAAACGAAUGCGAUAUUGCAUACCAAGUAGUUUUGUGAGUCGUUGGUGAAAAACAGGGUGUUGAAGCUUGUUUAGAAACUAAUUGGAACCUAAGAAAUAGGUUCGGAUUGUGUGACGCAUACAGUUUGAUCAGCAGUAUUGGUAUGUCUCUCGGGUAGAGAGUUAGAAGCCCAGGAUACAACCAGGAGUAGCAGUGAACCAAGUUCAUCCAGGUAUCCGUCGAUAAUCAAGGUGUGAAAAAAAACCCAAGGUGAUUCCAGCAAGUGAGUUAAUGCCGUACUAAUAUAUGAAGGGAGGAGAAACAGUCAAGCAAGAUUAACUAUGCUCGAAAUUGUUGCAGAUGUUCAAACUGAACCAGUUUAAGGGGCAAUGCAGAAUACGUUCUUUCUAGUUUGGGUUUAAGGGAGGCUGUUGGAGUUAUAGAUUAAACCCAACCUAGAAGUGUUCUAACUUCUAUAGUUAAAUGUCAUGUUUAAAUUCUGUAGUUCCAAUCCAUAAGGCCGCAUCGAAGAACUCCUACAAGUGCUCCACGUAUGGAUCAUCAGUCGGCUAAUUCUGACGAAUUAAUGAAGCAUAUUCCUACUGGUCUUCCAAGGAGGUGUCAUUGUCUAGUGUGGGACAUCCCUCCACUUUCAACUUGCAAGGCGACCUUCCUAAAGUCGUAGUGAGAGCUUGAACCAAGGCUCUAUUGUGACGAGCAUGGGUUUUCAUCCACGGGAGAGGCUGGCUGGCAUAUAAGCAUAUAAGGAUUUUGAGGAUACCUUGUAACAUUUUUUCCAAGCGUUUCAAAGAUGUCUAAACAUUUGGUGUAUGUAGUACCUAAGUAAUAUGCAACCGUAUUAGAUAGGUACCCAAAUUAUAUUAAUUUACCCUUUUGAAGAAGUACCCAAUAAAUAUCUUGAGACCCUCUUAUAGAGGUAUCCGGUUUAUAUUAUUUGACCCUAUUAAAUAAGUACCCAUUAUAUUUA